rnacentral:lncRNA from 1 species
AUUUGAGCUUGGCUCAAUUCUUUCCUUUACUUCUUGGUAGCAAAUCUGCCUACUGAAAUAUGUGUUCUUCUCUACUUUCCAGUUUGAAUUCAAAAUGGUUUGCUUCCAAAGGAGAGGCCUGGGAUCAUUUAGCACAGGCUGGUACAGGGAAGAGAGGUUGAUCAAACCUGUGGUUUAUUACAAAUAGUGUAAAUAAAUGCCCCUGUUUGUUAGGACAGUCCUGGUUUACACUUAUUUUCACAAUGAAAUUAUUAACAUUGCUGCUUUUUUUUCUCUUAAAAGUGUUCUGGUUUAGAUGCUAAAUAAUGUAGUUAUUCUAAUUAUAAGAAAGCACACUCUUCCACAAAGACACAUCUAACAUCAUAUUUCAUCUGAAAUAAAGAUGAUGUUUUAACUUCCAUCUACCUCAUUAUUUUAUAUGUCAACAAUUUAUAUAGAACUAAAAAAAAAGCUGUGUUCUUUGGACCCUUUAAACUCAAAAGAAUUAAUAUAUAGUGAUUUAGAAAAUAAUAAUUAUAAAAACAUUAUAAUUACAGGUAUUUGGAUAUUCAAGAGAAAAAAACAAUUAUUUUAAGUUCAAGAAGGUCUUAAUUUAUUAUAUGGGUUUUAGUUUUACUUACUUUUUCUUUACUUAACGCUGAAUCUCCACUGAUUACUUUGUGAAGCUCAAAACUGACUCUGCAAAUAUUCUAGGAGGGAAGUUCCAUUUAUAAAAUUUAUAAAGCUUAUUGAAUUAAGAUUACAUUCUUUAGACAACAAAAGUUAAGAGUUUUAUUGUAUAUAUAUCAUAAUAAUAUUCCUCACUAAUAACUCUAAUACCUCUGAAAUUAAGAGGGAAUCAAUAUUGAUUUUUAAAUGUCAAUUUCUUUCAGCAGAACUCUGAUAUCUCAAAAUAGUAACCAUCCUACCUUGUCAAUAUUUACUUCACCUAGAUUAGGAAUGAAUUACAAUGGGAAAAACAAUUAUAAUUCUGAUUAAUACUUUGGGAACUCCGAAGUAUAGGUGCUUGUAUACGUGUAUAUCUACUACACUGUAUGUGAAAUUCUAGGAAAUUUGGAAAUUCAGUUAAAUUAGUAGAGAAAACUCAGCCCUCAGGCAGCUUGCAUUCCAGUGAUUUUCCCCUUUCCCUUUACAACAUAGUAACUAAAAAAACAACUAAAAAAGUAUUGGUUUUUGUUAACCUUGUAAUACCACUACCCUACAUUUUGUACAAUUGAAUAUUUGAAACUUAUUCAAUUAUGGCAGAGUCUCACCAUUUACCCAAUUUGAAAGCACAAGAGAAAUCUAAGCUAACAAUAUGUUUUAGUUAUACCAAUCCAAAAAAUUCCUUCCUAAGCAAAGACCUGUGUAAAAUUAGCUACUGAUGAAGCAGAAACUUAUGCAGAGAGCACGGCUUUUGUGUAUUUAGGAGAAAACAUUUUUGACUGGAUUUGGAAUGUUUUUCUGGGCAACCAUUAAAAUUAAGCAUAUUAAACUCUUUCUCCUUUUCUGUCAAAGUUAAUUUCUAUUUCACUUCAAAAAACAUCUUUAUAGUUAAAUACAACUUUAUGAAAGUCAAUGCUAUUGCUUAGUCAUUUGUUUUUCUACAGAAAACGUCUUACUUCAACAACAUUGCACUAUUCAAAAGUCAGCUGUGUUCCUUUUUAAUAAAGGGAGUUUUUUUAUUAUAAUGGACUAAAAAAUUUUCUAGUGUAUUUAUCCAGCAAUUUAGAAAAUAAAGUUCUUUUAUAAGUGGAAUUAAAAUUUUGCUUUAACAAUGACUGUCUCUUACAGAGGUCCUAUUUAAGUCAUCCUAAUUAGUCUACUAGUUUUCAUUUAUCAGAAUGUUAGAUUUUUUGUUAGGUUCUGAAACUGGAACAUGACAUAAGUGUUCCAUGUCAGAACAUUUAAUAUACACUCUGUUCUACUUCAUAGAGUACUUGUUUUUUCAGAAUGCCAAGAAGAGUACUGGAUAUAUUCUACAGUGUGUUACAUGUU